GGCCUUGAAAGUGUAAGCAUGUCGAACUGCAAAUUCGAAGAAGCAGCUUCAAUUCUGCCGGGGCUU
rnacentral:tRNA from 1 species